CCCCAGCUGGCUCAGUGGUAAAGAUUUUGCCUGCAGUGCAGGAGACACAGGUUCUAUCCCUGUGCCAGGAA
rnacentral:tRNA from 1 species